rnacentral:rRNA from 1 species
GACGAACGCUGGCGGCAUGCCUAAUACAUGCAAGUCGAACGCGACCAUCCGGUGCUUGCACUGGUGAAGUCGAGUGGCGAACGGGUGAGUAACACGUGAGAAACCUACCCUGGAGUGGGGAAUAACUCGAAGAAAUUCGAGCUAAUACCGCAUACCUUCUUACCGCCGAAUGGUGGUUUGAAGAAAGAUUUAUCGCUCUGGGAGGGUCUCGCGGCCUAUCAGCUAGUUGGUGAGGUAACGGCUCACCAAGGCAUCGACGGGUAGCUGGUCUGAGAGGACGAUCAGCCACACUGGAACUGAGACACGGUCCAGACUCCUACGGGAGGCAGCAGUAGGGAAUCUUGCGCAAUGGGCGAAAGCCUGACGCAGCAAUGCCGCGUGCGGGACGAAGGCCCCUAGGGUCGUAAACCGCUUUCAGUAGGGACGAAAAUGACGGUACCUGCAGAAGGAGCACCGGCUAACUACGUGCCAGCAGCCGCGGUAAU